UACUCCUACGGGAGGCAGCAGUGGGAAAUAUUGGACAAUGGGCGCAAGCCUGAUCCAGCCAUACCGCGUGGGUGAAGAAGGCCUUCGGGUUGUAAAGCCCUUUUGUUGGGAAAGAAAUCCAGCUGGUUAAUACCCGGUUGGGAUGACGGUACCCAAAGAAUAAGCACCGGCUAACUUCGUGCCAGCAGCCGCGGUAAUACGAAGGGUGCAAGCGUUACUCGGAAUUACUGGGCGUAAAGCGUGCGUAGGUGGUCGUUUAAGUCCGUUGUGAAAGCCCUGGGCUCAACCUGGGAACUGCAGUGGAUACUGGACGACUAGAGUGUGGUAGAGGGUAGCGGAAUUCCUGGUGUAGCAGUGAAAUGCGUAGAGAUCAGGAGGAACAUCCAUGGCGAAGGCAGCUACCUGGACCAACACUGACACUGAGGCACGAAAGCGUGGGGAGCAAACAGGAUUAGAUACCCUGGUAGUCCACGCCCUAAACGAUGCGAACUGGAUGUUGGGUGCAAUUUGGCACGCAGUAUCGAAGCUAACGCGUUAAGUUCGCCGCCUGGGGAGUACGGUCGCAAGACUGAAACUCAAAGGAAUUGACGGA
rnacentral:rRNA from 1 species